UCCAUCAGGGAUUGGUAUAAGGUUUAGGCCUCUCAUCUCUCUUUACUGACUCAGCCCAUAAGAAAGGAAUUAUUCCUCCUCCCUGUCUGGCUUUGCUACUGACUUUGUUUCUACAAAAGAGAAAUCCCUUUCCAGACAUGACCACUUGGACUUCUUUUCUUGCAGAUUCUGCCUGCCAGACUGAAACACAAAAAUACUCACCUGAUUCCUUCCCACUGCCAGGACAGCCCAGUUUGUGUGACGGUCAUAACAGCACUGUGUGGGAAGGAGGCAGCCAGACCCUGAGAUAAAGAUGCUAAUUACCAGAGGCAAUUACAACUUUCUCAUAAAUGUCUCCAAAGAGACCACUGAAGUAUCCAAAAGAGGCUCUUACUUUUUCACAAUCCCUGAAGACUGCAAGGAGCAGAAAAUAUUGAGGUUUGAUCUGUGAGGCACUUGUAGAGAAGCAUGUUUGUCUCACUGGAUUUCCUAAUUCUAUGAGAUACUCUUCUUCCUAAAAUCAAGCUCAUCCUUAAUUUGCAGAUCCAUUAUGUAAGUAUUCAG
rnacentral:lncRNA from 1 species